rnacentral:rRNA from 1 species
GACGAACGCUGGCGGCGUGCUUAACACAUGCAAGUCGAACGGAAAGGCCCUGCUUUUGUGGGGUGCUCGAGUGGCGAACGGGUGAGUAACACGUGAGUAACCUGCCCUUGACUUUGGGAUAACUUCAGGAAACUGGGGCUAAUACCGGAUAGGAGCUCCUGCUGCAUGGUGGGGGUUGGAAAGUUUCGGCGGUUGGGGAUGGACUCGCGGCUUAUCAGCUUGUUGGUGGGGUAGUGGCUUACCAAGGCUUUGACGGGUAGCCGGCCUGAGAGGGUGACCGGCCACAUUGGGACUGAGAUACGGCCCAGACUACUACGGGAGGCAGCAGUGGGGAAUAUUGCACAAUGGGCGGAAGCCUGAUGUAGCAACGCCGCGUGCGGGAUGACGGCCUGCGGGUUGUAAACCGCUUUCGCCUGUGACGAAGCGUGAGUGACGGUAAUGGGUAAAGAAGCACCGGCUAACUACGUG